CACAGGCGGAUCUGGAGGCAGGGUUCUGAGGGGAUUAGAAAAGAUUUAUUUUCCUUUUUUCUGGAGUGAGAUGAAAGGGGGGAGGGGGAGGGAGAGGCGAGCAAGGAGUGCUACGGAAAGGAACUCAUUAUUUUUUAUCUUUUCCAAUGACCUUGUUUAUUUUAGUCCUGCUUGAAAGCAGCUUCUUUCCUUGAGAAAAUUUUGAGAUAUCUGGAGACUGGGGCUAGUGAGAAAGGGAAAAAACAGGAAAAGGGAGCUGGGUGAACUGAAGAAACAUGGAAAAUUAACAGAAUAAAUGUAAACUGAGCUGGAGAAAAACCCACGUGGGCUUGGUGCUGUGAUGAAAUGCCACGUCUAGGGGAAAUAUUCCCCCUGUCCAACCUGGCCUUGGACACUCCCAGGGAUGGAGCAGCCACAGCUUCUCAGCACCCUGUUGUCCCAUUAUCCUCUGCACUGGGAUCAUCCUCUGGAAGGAGAUGGCUGCACCACAGAGGGAACGCCAGGAGAACUCGUGAGUUUCUGAACCCAAGGACCAGCUCUGCCCCAGCUGAUGCUGCCUUUGAGGGGAUACCUGGCCUGGAAAUGCGGGAAGACAGCACCAGUGGGUUCCCCUGGCAGCUGAGCUGGCUUUCACAGGACCUCCUGGAGAAGGCAGUGUGUUCUAAGAGUGACACUUAUCAGCUCUCUGUACUUUAA
rnacentral:lncRNA from 1 species